rnacentral:rRNA from 1 species
AUUGGGGAAUCUUCCGCAAUGGGCGAAAGCCUGACGGAGCAACGCCGCGUGAGGGAUGAAGGCCUCUGGGCUGUAAACCUCUUUUAUCAAGGAAGAAGAUCUGACGGUACUUGAUGAAUAAGCCACGGCUAAUUCCGUGCCAGCAGCCGCGGUAAUACGGGAGUGGCAAGCGUUAUCCGGAAUUAUUGGGCGUAAAGCGUCCGCAGGCGGUCUUGUAAGUCUGUUGUUAAAGCGUGGAGCUUAACUCCAUUUCAGCAAUGGAAACUGCAAGACUAGAGUGUGGUAGGGGCAGAGGGAAUUCCCGGUGUAGCGGUGAAAUGCGUAGAUAUCGGGAAGAACACCAGUGGCGAAGGCGCUCUGCUGGGCCAUAACUGACGCUCAUGGACGAAAGCCAGGGGAGCGAAAGGGAUUAGAUACCCCUGUAGUCAAU